AACAGCGCGAAACCCUUUACCAGGUCUUGACCUCUUUUGCCCACUCUAGAGAUAGAGUUUUCCUUUCGGGGACAAAGUGACAGGUGGUGCAUGGUUGUCGUCAGCUCGUGUCGUGAGAUGUUGGGUUAAGUCCCGCAACGAGCGCAACCCUUAUUACUAGUUGCCAGCAUUUAGUUGGGCACUCUAGUGAGACUGCCGGUGACAAACCGGAGGAAGGUGGGGACGACGUCAAAUCAUCAUGCCCCUUAUGACCUGGGCUACACACGUGCUACAAUGGAUGGUACAACGAGUUGCGAGACCGCGAGGUUUAGCUAAUCUCUUAAAACCAUUCUCAGUUCGGAUUGUAGGCUGCAACUCGCCUACAUGAAGCCGGAAUCGCUAGUAAUCGCGGAUCAGCAUGCCGCGGUGAAUACGUUCCCGGGCCUUGUACACACCGCCCGUCACACCAUG
rnacentral:rRNA from 2 species